AAUGAACGCUGGCGGCGUGCCUAACACAUGCAAGUCGUACGAGAAAUCCCGAGCUUGCUUGGGAGAGUAAAGUGGCGCACGGGUGAGUAACGCGUGGGUAACCCACCCUCGAAUCGGGGAUAACUCCGCGAAAGCGGUGCUAAUACCGGAUAAGACCACAUUCCGUUCGCGGAAAGAGGUAAAAGCUGACCUCUCCAUGGAAGUUAGCGUUUAAGGACGGGCCCGCGUCCUAUCAGCUUGUUGGUGGGGUAAUGGCCUACCAAGGCAGCGACGGGUAGCUGGUCUGAGAGGAUGAUCAGCCACACUGGAACUGGAACACGGUCCAGACUCCUACGGGAGGCAGCAGUGAGGAAUUUUGCGCAAUGGGGGAAACCCUGACGCAGCAACGCCGCGUGGGUGAAGAAGGCUUUCGGGUCGUAAAGCCCUGUCAGGUGGGAAGAAACUCUUCAGUACUAAUAAUGCUGAAGCCUGACGGUACCACCAGAGGAAGCACCGGCCAACUCCGUG
rnacentral:rRNA from 1 species